rnacentral:rRNA from 1 species
GAUGAACGCUGGCGGCGUGCCUAAUACAUGCAAGUCGAGCGAACGGACGAUACGCUUGCUUCUCUGAUGUUAGCGGCGGACGUGUGUGUAACACGUGGAUACCCUACCUAUAAGACUGGGAUCACUUCGGGAAACCGUCGCUAAUACCGGAUAAUAUUUUGAACCGCAUGGUUCAAAAGUGAAAGACGGUCUUGCUGUCACUUAUCGAUGGAUCCGCGCUGCAUUAGCUAGUUGGUAAGGUAACGGCUUACCAAGGCAACGAUGCAUAGCCGACCUGAGAGGGGGAUCGGCGACACUGGAGCGGGGACACGGUCAUGACGCCUAAGAGACGCAGCAGACGGGAAUCUGACGCAGUGGGCGAAAGCCUGACGGAGCAACGGCGCGUGAGUGAUGAAGGUCUUCGGAGCGUAAUACUCUGUUAUUAGGGAAGAACAGAUGUGUAAGUAACUGUGCACAUCUUGACGGUAACUAAUCAGAAAGCCACGGCUAACUACGUG